GGAGAGGUGGCCGAGUGGCUGAAGGCGGCGUCUUGCUAAGGCGUUGAGGGCUUAUCCCCCUCCGAGGGUUCGAAUCCCUCCCUCUCCG
rnacentral:tRNA from 1 species